rnacentral:rRNA from 1 species
AAACUAACAAGGAUGCCUUCAGUAGCGGCGAGCGAAGCAGGCAUAGCUCAAAUUUGUAAUCUGGCUGUUUUACAGUCCGAGUUGUAAUUUCUAGAGGCGAGUUCGGUGGCAGCUCUGGUUCAAGUCCGCUGGAACGCGGCGUCAUGGAGGGUGAGAAUCCCGUGAAUGAUCAGAUGUCUGUUGCUAUGUGAACCGUUUUCGAAGAGUCGAGUUGUUUGGGAAUGCAGCUCUAAAUGGGAGGUAAAUUUCUUCUAAAGCUAAAUAUUGGCCAGAGACCGAUAGCGAACAAGUAGAGUGAUCGAAAGAUGAAAAGAACUUUGAAAAGAGAGUUAAACAGUACGUGAAAUUGUUGAAAGGGAAGCGCUUGAGAUCAGACUUCCUGCCUAGACUGUCCUUGCUUCUGCAUGGGUCAACAGUCUGGGCGUGGAGGCCAGCAUCAGUUUUGACGGCCGGAUAAAGGUUUGGGGAAGGUGGCUCACCUCGGUGAGUGUUAUAGCCCCAGAUGCAAUACGGCCAGUUGGGACUGAGGACCGCGGCUUUUGCCUAGGAUGCUGGCGUAAUGGUCUUAAGCGAC